ACUGCCGGUGCCUCCCACCGGUGCGGGGGCCUCGGGCGGCGCCGCUCGUCGGGAGAGAGACGGAACGCACCGGGCACGGAGCUCACCGGGCAGCGGGCACCGGGUAUGGAACACACCGGGCACGGAGCUCACCGGGCAGCGGGCACCGGGUAUGGAACGCACCGGGCACGGAACUCACCGGGCAGCGGGCACCGGGAGGACACUCUCAAGCUCCACAUCAAGGGAUGCCGAGCUCCACCUGCCUUCCUUUUGCUCAGUGGGAGCACUCUUCAUCUGCUCACCUACGACAGAGCUCCUGUGCUACCUGCUGCUUUCCCUAUUUUAAGGAUACAUUACCAAACAUAUCAGUUGCAUUUACAUUCAGUGAUUCUCUGCGUUUUGUGAAUAAACAUGGAUUGUACCAUUAGCAUGGUACUCAUGAUAAACUGACACUCCAUGUGCUGCUGUGUUGCAGGUAUGUCUGUGCUGUUCAGAGACCUUGAAACACUGGAUCAAUUUACUUUUUCUCUCUGUGAUGCCUUAAGUUUUAGAUUUCAUAUUUUCCAGAUUCUGUACUGCCUUAGUGUAUAACACGGAACUUCAUAUCAAUUGUCAGCAAGUUCUCCUCGCAGUUCAGUCACACAAAAUAAUCCUUUUCCAGCCCCAAAACCAAGGACGCCUCUGCAGCUUCAGCUCCAAAAGGUGUAAGCAGCAGGGAAUUGAGGAGAGCAAACUGGGAGGAUGGGACCUCAUAACUUGGAGCUGUAACUGGACAAUUAACCCCAAUAUGGAAAUGGACCAAAACCUAUAAAAGUGUGAAAACUUGUGACUCUGAGUCCAUCUUGGGUGUAGCCACAGCCAGGCUCUUGUAUUGCCCAAGGUGCAUCCUUUAAAGUCCUUUUAAUAAAUGCCUACUUUAUUCCUUUGAA